CUAUAGUUUUCUCGCUGCCGCAAAAUCGGCAGCCGGGCGUGAGAACCCGAGCU
rnacentral:ncRNA from 1 species